AAUGAAUCAAUGAUGAUUAACACAUGACCAUGGAUGAUGAAAAAUAAGGGUCUGGAACGCUGAGGCCCAACACAGUCCAUACUCUUUUUCUUUGUUUAUUUCAUCCUAUGCACAGAUGUUAAGAAGUUCAAGUGCUUAGACCGAGUUUAAAAAUUAGUAAUACAGCAAUGAGAGCACUAUUAAAAAUAUGUAGAUAAUAGAUGAAGAAGAACAGUAAAUUAUUGUCUAAUUAGGAAUAUAUAUAAUGAGGCAAGAAAUAUUAAUAAAAAUUGCCAACAUUGAUGUCCAUUAUGAAAUGGAUGGCUCAAGGGUAUCACCUCUCUGGCCAAGUAUCAAAUAGACUUGAACUAUUCAGAGUUGAUUUUAUUGUUCUGAGUCAAUCUCAAGUUUGAAGUUGUUCUUUCUGUUAAGAAGAAACAAUGUCUGCAUUAUAAAAAAGCUAUAAAUUCCUAAAUGACUGGGUAAAUGAAAUGUAGAAUGCAAGAGUCAAUGGCAAUAAAUUUGUUUUUUUUUCUCAUUGGCUGUACUUCAUAUUGUUCAAAAUGGACACAUUCACGCUGAUGGAGCGUUAUUCCAUGGUGAUGCACCUUAAUGAUUGCAUCUCUAUGUUAGAAGCACAGAGACCAAUAAUGAAGGCAGUAGAGAUGAUUUAGCAUCCUUCAUGGGCAUGAGCUCUGUGCUUGCCUCUGAACAGUAGGAGGAUGGAGAUUAACGAUGGAUGUUCCUGCUAUUUCAGCUUCUGCUGUGCUCACUUGUCACACCGCCCCUGUGUCAGGAAGGAAACUAAGAACGGACGCACUGGAGCUGAUUGAAGCAUCUUGCGUGGUCACGAGCUCUCUGGUUUCAUCUGUGCUGUAGGAGUAUGAAGACCAUAAUGGAAACACUUGAGCUGAUUUAAGCAGUGUACCGUGAUGGUGACCUCUGAGAUUGCAUCUCUGGGUUAGGAGAACAGACACCAAUAAUCGUUGCAAUGGGCUGACUUAAGUGUUCCACCGAUGUCACGAAUCCUGUGGUUGCAUCUAUGUGUUAAGAGCUUGGAGAGCAAAAACAGAUGCUGGAGGUGACUUCAGCUCCUGUUGUCAUCAAGAUUGUCUGCUGCUUCCUUGUGUGGAAAGAGACCAAGUACAGAUGCCCUCGAGCUGCUUUCAGCGUCUUCCUCCCUCAUGAGCGCUGCGGUUGCCUGUAUAUACUAGGAAGACAGAGAUUAAUGAUCAUCUGGACACUGUUUUGUAAGAAUCAGUUUUUUGAUCUGGAUCAGUUCCAAGUUUAAGACUGAAUGCACUUGAGCUGAUUUAAGCAUCUUCCAUUGUCAGGAGCUUUCUGGUUACAUCUGCGUUAGGAGCAUGAAGACCAUAAUGGUCACUCCUGCACUGAUUUUAGCAUUCUACUGUGGCCUCAAACUCAGUUGUCUUAGGAACAUGGAGACCAGUAAUGCCUUCUCAUGGUUAAACGUCAUGGCUGGGGAGUCUCUGGAAUGGACAUGAGUGGAUAAUCAUUUUGUAAUUAUCAAGACCUUCAUGGUUCAAUAUCGAACAAUUGAAAAAAAGAAGGUAUGGAAUAUAAUCAAAGAAGGCCACAUAAGGACCAAUGACAAGAUUGUGUCGUAAACCAAGGUUCGUGAAGAAUCUGAUUCAGCACAACAGACCCCUUUUAAAAAAUGAAGUUCUACAAACGUAUGAACACCAAGGUGGGUA